AGCGAACGCUGGCGGCAUGCUUAACACAUGCAAGUCGCACGGUCAGCAAUGGCAGUGGCGGACGGGUGAGUAACGCGUAGGUAUCUGUCUCUGGGUGGGGGAUAACCAUGGGAAACUAUGGCUAAUACCGCAUGAAACCUGAGGGUCAAAGGCGCAAGUCGCCUGGAGAGGAGCCUGCGUACGAUUAGCUUGUUGGUGGGGUAAUGGCCUACCAAGCCACGAUCCAUAGCUGGUCUGAGAGGAUGAUCAGCCACACUGGGACUGAGACACGGGCCCAGACUCCUACGGGAGGCAGCAGUAGGGAAUCUUGCGCAAUGGGCGAAAGCCUGACCCAGCAACGCCGCGUGAAGGAUGAAGUAUUUCGGUAUGUAAACUUCGAAAGAAUAGGGAAGAAUAAAUGACGGUACCAUUUAUAAGGUCC
rnacentral:rRNA from 1 species